GGCGUUGCCAGCUCCUCCCUCCUGCAUGGUCGGCUGGGUUCCACCAGCUCCGCUAGUGUUAACAGGAGGAAGUGUCCCCCUGGUCUGCAUCUCCCUGGUGAUCUGGUUCUCAUCCGAAUGCAGACAGCGGAAAGGGAGGGUUUUCCACAAGGAGGUCGGCAAGUAUUUCUAGAAAGAAAAGAGCUUCUCUUCUAAUUAGAGCACCAAAGACUACGCUACAGUCAGAUUUUACUUCACUUUGAAAAAUCUACCCGUCUUGGUACAUACGCAGCUGCUUCGUUAGUUGUGACUCUGCACAGCAUGAAGUUUAUACCCACCUGCUCCGAUGACAGACAGAAAUCGCCUCAACAGGCAGUAGUGUGUGAAUGAUUCUCUACCACAACCUAUCAGAUUGCCAAUAGAAGGAAAAAUCCCUCAUAUCCACCGCUCACAUCCAUGGCCUACUCCAGGAUUUUCAAUUCCACCAGGAACUGAACCUCUGAGGCUAUUUGACCGGAAGGCCACAGGACUUACUUGGUUUGUGUUUGGGCAUCCAACACAUCGUCUUACCACUGCAGUCCAUGAAAAGUGCACUGACAAGAACAUUGGGAUCUCCAGGUAGUUGUUUCUACCCAGGAAGAGACGAGGGAAGACCACCAAAGCAGUGUGGUAGCCGGGAAAUUACAGAUAAGGAUCAUGGCCCUGUUCAGUUUCUUCAUCCACCACCCAUGAAGAGGCAUCGCCUAAGAAGCUGUGAUUCUGUUUCACCCAUGUGAACAAGGCAAUCCUCAGGAGGUCCAAAAGCAGCUAGAAGAACAUAGACCCCUGGAGAACUUUGUGGAGAAGGGCUUCUAGAAGUCUCUGGUUUGCCCUUCAACAGCACAUUUAUAUGACAAAGAAAAUUUUCUAUCUUGCUUAAUCAUUGUUACUUGGUCUUUAUGGUACUAAUCAAAUAAACAUCCUAACUGAAAAAAAUCAGAGUAGAAUUAAGGACUGAUAACUAAAGGGGGGCCAAAGUUUACACACACCUACCUAGAUUAUUCCGAGAGUCUUUUGACUGAUUUUACUGUUUUUGGUCUUGUCCCUGUUCAAUGCAUUCUCCAUAUUAUAACUAUAAUCUAAGACAUAAUCUGGUUAUACUACCUGCCUAUUAAGAAACCACUGCCUAGAGUUGAGUUGUAUUGUCUAAUAAAGUAGCCACUAAAAUUCAGUAAAAAUUCAUUAGUACUAGCCACAUUUCAAGUGGUUUUUUUUUUUUUUUUUGAGGCAGGGUCUAUUUCUGUCUCCCAGACUGGAGUGCAGUGGCGCAAAUACAGCUUACUGAUGCCUCGACCUCCCAGGCUCAAGCGAUCCUCCCACCUCAGCCUCCCAAGUAGCUGGGACUACAGGGGCAUGCCACCAUGCCUGAUAAUUUUUUUUGUAUUUUUUGUGAAGACAGGGUUUCAUCAUUUUGUCCAGGCUAGUCUCAAACUCCUGAGGUCAAGGGAUAUGCCUGCCUCGGCCUCCAAAAGUGCUGGGAUUACAGGCGUGAGCCACCAUGCCCAGCCUCAAGAGUUUAAUAGCCACAUGUACAUAGCGAUUACUGUGUUGGACAACACAGAUACAGGAUAAAGUUCUAUUGGACAGCAUUGGGCUAGGAGAAGCAUGUCCAAGCCACCCACAUGUCCUGUAAAGCUUUCUCUCCAGACUUACCUGCUGUCGCCAUAAACUUAGUCAAGGCCACCAUGCUGUUUCUCAGCCCUGCAUUUGUUCAUAAUGCUACUGCCAAGGAAUUCUCUCUCCUCCACCUUGUCCACCUAGAAAACAAUUCAUUUUUUUUAAGUAUUACCUUAUUUACACACACACCCAAAAAACCCCAGAAGCAUUGAGUAGUUCAAGAAUUAAUUUUGAAUACAUCUUCCCAUUUAUCUACUAUCCCUACAA
rnacentral:lncRNA from 10 species